rnacentral:rRNA from 1 species
AGUGAACGCUGGCGGUAGGCCUAACACAUGCAAGUCGAACGGCAGCACAGUAAGAGCUUGCUCUUACGGGUGGCGAGUGGCGGACGGGUGAGGAAUACAUCGGAAUCUACUUUUUCGUGGGGGAUAACGUAGGGAAACUUACGCUAAUACCGCAUACGACCUACGGGGGAAAGCAGGGGAUCUUUGGACCUUGCGCGAUUGAAUGAGCCGAUGUCGGAUUAGCUAGUUGGCGGGGUAAAGGCCCACCAAGGCGACGAUCCGUAGCUGGUCUGAGAGGAUGAUCAGCCACACUGGAACUGAGACACGGUCCAGACUCCUACGGGAGGCAGCAGUGGGGAAUAUUGGACAAUGGGCGCAAGCCUGAUCCAGCCAUACCGCGUGGGUGAAGAAGGCCUUCGGGUUGUAAAGCCCUUUUGUUGGGAAAGAAAAGCAGCAGGUUAAUACCCCGCUGUUCUGACGGUACCCAAAGAAUAAGCACCGGCUAACUUCGUG